CCUACGGGGGGCGGCAGUAGGGAAUUUUGCGCAAUGGACGAAAGUCUGACGCAGCAACGCCGCGUGAGGGAUGAAGGUCUUCGGAUUGUAAACCUCUGUUGAGUGGGAAGAAACGCUUUAGGGAUAAUACCCCUGAAGUCUGACGGUACCAUUCGAGUAAGCUCCGGCUAACUACGUGCCAGCAGCCCCGGUC
rnacentral:rRNA from 1 species